CAGUAGCCGCGGUAAUACGAAGGGGGCUAGCGUUGCUCGGAAUGACUGGGCGUAAAGGGUGCGUAGGCGGUGGCCAAAGUCAGGCGUGAAAUUCCUGGGCUCAACCUGGGGGCUGCGCUUGAUACUUGGUUGCUUGAGUGGGGAAGAGGGUCGUGGAAUUCCCAGUGUAGAGGUGAAAUUCGUAGAUAUUGGGAAGAACACCGGUGGCGAAGGCGGCGACCUGGUCCUUGACUGACGCUGAGGCGCGAAAGCGUGGGGAGCAAACAGGAUUAGAUACCCGCGUAGUCCCUGUCUCUUAUAC
rnacentral:rRNA from 1 species